UACGGAGGGGGCUAGCGUUGUUCGGAUAUACUGGGCGUAAAGCGCACGUAGGCGGCGCAGCAAGUCAGGGGUGAAAUCCCGGAGCUCAACUCCGGAACUGCCUUCGAUACUGGCGAUCUUGAGUCUGGGAGAGGUGAGUGGAACUCCGAGUGUAGAGGUGAAAUUCGUAGAUAUUCGGAAGAACACCAGUGGCGAAGGCGGCUCACUGGCCCGGUACUGACGCUGAGGUGCGAAAGCGUGGGGAGCAAACAGG
rnacentral:rRNA from 1 species